rfam:Dictyoglomus turgidum DSM 6724, complete genome.
ACUGGUGAUUAGAGCGGAGGGGAAACGCCCGUUCCCAUUCCGAACACGGAAGCUAAGCCCUCCAGCGCCGAUGGUACUACCCUGGCGACGGGGUGGGAGAGUAGGUCAUCGCCAGAG